rnacentral:rRNA from 1 species
GAUAAACGCUGGCGGCGUGCAUGAGACAUGCAAGUCGAACGAACGCUCCCGGGCUUGCCUGGGGUCGUUAGUGGCGAACGGCUGAGUAACGCGUAGGUGACCUGCCCGGAAGUGGGGAAUAACUGCCCGAAAGGGUGGCUAAUACCGCAUGUGGCCACACGUUCAUUCGUGUGACCAAAGCCGCGAGGCGCUUCCGGAGGGGCCGGCGUUCGAUUAGCUCGUUGGUGAGGUAACGGCUCACCAAGGCGACGAUCGAUAGGUGGUAUGACAGGAUGAUCACACAGCCCGAGAAUGAGACACGUCCCAGACUCAUGAGGGAGGCAGCAGUGGGGAAUAUUGGACAAUGGGCACAAGCCUGAUCCAGCAAUGCCGCGUGGGUGAAGAAGGUCUUCGUAUCGUAAAGCCCUUUCGACAGGGACGAUGAUGACGGUACCUGUAGAAGAAGCCCCGGCUAACUGCGUGCCAGCCGCCGCGGUAAGAC